GACGAACGCUGGCGGCGUGCCUAAUACAUGCAAGUCGAGCGAACUUGCGGGAGCUUGCUCCCAAAAGUUAGCGGCGGACGGGUGAGUAACACGUGGGCAACCUGCCUAUAAGACUGGGAUAACUUCGGGAAACCGGAGCUAAUACCGGAUAAUUCUUUUCUACUCAUGUAGGAAAGCUGAAAGAUGGUUUCGGCUAUCACUUAUAGAUGGGCCCGCGGCGCAUUAGCUAGUUGGUGAGGUAACGACUCACCAAGGCGACGAUGCGUAGCCGACCGGAGAGGGUGAUCGGCCACACUGGGACGGAGACACGGCCCAGACUCCUACGGGAGGCAGCAGUAGGGAAUCUUCCGCAAUGGACGAAAGUCUGACGGAGCAACGCCGCGUGAGUGAUGAAGGUUUUCGGAUCGUAAAACUCUGUUGUUAGGGAAGAACAAGUACUAGAGUAACUGCUAGUACCUUGACGGUACCUAACCAGAAAGCCACGGCUAACUACGUGCCAGCCGCCGCAGUAACAC
rnacentral:rRNA from 1 species